rnacentral:lncRNA from 1 species
AUAGUUUGGCUGAAAGGCAGAGCAUAGCUCUGAGUGUCAGCAAUUCCUCUCUUUCUCAAACCAGAUUUCUACCUCAAGUUGAUGUCCCUGUGUCUGCUACUUCUCAGUUUGUUUCUUUGGUUUUGUUCUAUUUUGUUUUUUAAUUUGUCUUCCAUGAUGGUCAGUUUUCUAAACCAUAGACACAGUCAUCUCAUAGCUCCACCUAAAACACUCCAGACAUGGUCCUUUAUGAUUCUGAAGUCCAGACUCAGCAGGAACUUGAGCCUCAUCUUUGGGAAUGGCCACUUUGAUGUCUCCCAGUCCUUCUGCAGGCCGUCCUUCAUCACAUCCUUCAUCACUGUGUCUCUGCCUGCAUUGAUUUCUGAAUUCGUAACAUCAUCUUCCUCCCUUCUACCAUUUCACCUCUGCCUGAGCCAGACAGAACCAACUUAUCAUUUGAGGCCCUUCUUUCUCCACUGCCACCUCCUACAGGAAGCCUACUUUGACUUCUAUCCCCAUUCCCAGAGUGUAAGAAUCUUUCUUGGUGCUCCUUCUCAGAAAAAAAAAAAGAGAGAGAUAACAAAAAAAAAACCCUAUGAAUUGAUUAAUUGAACAAGCAUUUAAUAAAUGCUUUCUUUUAUGGGCUUUGUUCUAGGUUCAUGUUUGAUCUUAGGAUCUAAUGAAAGUAAACAUAAAUUUACUCAAAAUCUAUGACACAAGGAAUACAACCAAUAUUCACAUAAGACUAUGUUUAGAUUUGAGACCAAGUUCUCUGAAAACAAUUGACUACUUCAGUGAGUCUUUUGAGAAGGUGACCAGUGAAGCUGGGAUGUAAAUGACAAGACGUUGCUCACAGGAUAGCCCUACUACCUAAUAAUGGACUCCUUUCCUUUGUGAGAUAUCAGAUUCAAGGAAGCUGGGUACUGGCUUACCUAAUGUCACAUCUGACCAGAGUUAGAUAUUUAAAUAUUUGAGCUCAUUGUCAUUCCUCAUUGCAGGCAACAAUUGAACCAACUCAGUAAACUAGAUUGUGGUCUCCUUAAGGAAAGUGACCACCACUCCCAACCCAACUACAUGAUUGUGGGCUCAUUGUAUCCUCCCUAUCUUUCAGAGCUGCCCUCCCUCCCAUCCCAAGUCCAAACUGGACUCACUUUAACAACCGAUAGAGUCUCUGGUCCUGAAGGCUUGGCCCAAAACUGCAGAGUGUCAAGCCUGCAGCAUCCACAGCCUGUAUCACUGAUGCUCUUUGGUACCAAAUGCUGCUGAGAAACAACUGCAUGCAGUGGGGAAAGCGUGUUAGGAAAGGCCAGAAAGGCCUUAAUUUAAAUUCUGGCUCCAACACUGUCAUUCUGUAGGACAUUCAACAAAUCAUUUAACCUUUCUGAAUCUGUUUUUCACAUCUGUUCAGUGGGCAAGCUUCCUUGAGAUAAAAGACUAUUUUUUUAGGUAUGAUUUGCAUAUGACCAUAAGGACUGUAUCUUAUCUCUGUAAUCCAUUU